GUGAAGGCCUCAUUAAGAAAAGGUCUCAUUCGGUGUUUUGGGAAGAGAGUCGUGUGGGCCCAGGUCUGUCUGCUAUCAGCUAUGCCGCUGCCCGUUGCGCUGCAGACCCGCUUGGCCAAGAGAGGCAUCCUCAAACAUCUGGAGCCUGAACCAGAGGAAGAGAUCAUUGCCGAGGACUAUGACGAUGAUCCUGUGGACUACGAGGCCACCAGGUUGGAGGGCCUACCACCAAGCUGGUACAAGGUGUUCGACCCUUCCUGCGGGCUCCCUUACUACUGGAAUGCAGACACAGACCUUGUAUCCUGGCUCUCCCCACAUGACCCCAACUCCGUGGUUACCAAAUCGGCCAAGAAGCUCAGAAGCAGUAAUGCAGAUGCUGAAGAAAAGUUGGACCGGAGCCAUGACAAGUCGGACAGGGGCCAUGACAAGUCGGACCGCAGCCAUGAGAAACUAGACAGGGGCCACGACAAGUCAGACCGGGGCCACGACAAGUCUGACAGGGAUCGAGAGCGUGGCUAUGACAAGGUAGACAGAGAGAGAGAGCGAGACAGGGAACGGGAUCGGGACCGCGGGUAUGACAAGGCAGACCGGGAAGAGGGCAAAGAACGGCGCCACCAUCGCCGGGAGGAGCUGGCUCCCUACCCCAAGAGCAAGAAGGCAGUAAGCCGAAAGGAUGAAGAGUUAGACCCCAUGGACCCUAGCUCAUACUCAGACGCCCCCCGGGGCACGUGGUCAACAGGACUCCCCAAGCGGAAUGAGGCCAAGACUGGCGCUGACACCACAGCAGCUGGGCCCCUCUUCCAGCAGCGGCCGUAUCCAUCCCCAGGGGCUGUGCUCCGGGCCAAUGCAGAGGCCUCCCGAACCAAGCAGCAGGAUUGAAGCUUCGGCCUCCCUGGCCCUGGGUUAAAAUAAAAGCUUUCUGGUGAUCCUGCCCACCA
rnacentral:sRNA from 1 species